CGGCCCCACCCCUCGCGCACAUGAGAGGCCUGGUAAGAUUGCUUGUGUGGAGCUGACUAUUAGUUAGAGAAAGCAGCUGAGAGGAAUACAUUCAUCGAGACAGAGGAGCGGUUCUUACACGAAUGUUCAGUUUAGAUCUUAAAUUUCAUGCCUGCGUUGCAAUGGAAAACCACGAUGGUUUGCUGAUAGAAUAAAUAAGAUAUAAUAAACUUCCAAAGAGGAUGUGAUUAUUCCACUCCUACAUUCUGUCUGGAGAUACAAUUGAAUAUUCAGUAGCAUGCAAGCCAAUUCACAACAUUCAGGACAACUGCAAAAUUUGCAUGGAGAAGGAACUACACCUGGAAACGGGACGAGCCAGAACUUUUACCAGCUAUGUUUACCACCUCCCACUGCAAGUCCCUCAUAUUCUGGACAAACUGCCACCGGAAAUUACUUCACCUGCACAGUUCAACCAGCAACCAGUGACCAGAUUUUGGCUAGUGGCGUUCAAGCUACCAAAGGCACAAAGCUUGCACAAGAAAAUCAGCCUAAUGCAAACCAUAUGUUGCCAACAGGAAAACAGGACUCCCAAAUUAUUCUGUGGAACAUGCCCUCUAAUUGCCAGAUAUUCCUACCUGUUAACAACAUAAAUCUACAAGGUGCUCCCAACAAUAAUGGGCCAAACAUGACACAUUGUGCCUUUAACUCAACUAACAGUUUAUACAUGCAACCACAAACUACCUCCUCAGCAGCUGGCCCACAUAAUUUGCAACAGUUUAAAACAAUAGACACUCAAAGUCUUAAUGAACCUAGAAUAAAUGUGAACACAAGCAACUUGCAUAGCAGGCAGCACUAUGCAAAUGCUCCUACUAAAUUGCCAAAAGACUCCUCGAAAACAAGGAAAAGCUUGCCAUCUAACCUAAAUUAUUGUCCUCCAACAGAAAAUGCACAUCUUGGCCAAAGUAGUUUGUUUGGUGGAUACCUUUACCAGUUGUUGUUUGCUGAAAAUACAAAUAAUGCUAACGUGCAAAUGCUUUCUACCUGUGCACAGAACCUGCAAUCGAAUAAUGCUGCUCAGAGAGCUGUUGCCGUUGUCCCACCAUUGUCUCCAAUAGGAACAGCCCCUGUUAAUGUAUUAGACAAAUCUGCUAAUGUGAAAAUGAAUGUAAACCCUGUGCAAGAGACUGUACACCUUCAACCAAAUAUUCCACAUCCUCUGGUGUCCAACGCUAAUCUGAUGAACCAAACGGGAGAACCAAAUGACCCAACAAGCAAGCAUCAACGACCAAAGUCAGCAGAACCAAGGCUGAAUGAUGGCCUUUGCAACGUAGUUGGAGCCAAGAGUCCGGUUUUGGCUAAUGAAUCAACUGACCAAAGUCCGAACCUGAAAUGUGUGGUUGCAGAACAAAACGAGUCUGUUCCAGCUCAAAUGCAAAAUGAAUCAGCUGAAAAGAUGAAUAAAAACUGUACAGUGAUGGACAAAAAAACAAUUGACCCGGACACUGUUCCUUUUAUUGAAUGGCCAUUAGAUCGAUUGCAGACCUUAAUGGCCGUGAUUCAGCAAAUAGAAAAUGGGGAUCAGAAGAACAUCCACAUAACUGAUCCUGGGAAGGACAUCUUAAAACUUUACUGGAAUGGGGAUACUCGCAAGUUUUCUGAAGUUGUAGAAAGUGGCAUAUAUCAAAGCAUAAUGGAAGAAGUUUAUAUUUACUCUCCGAUGAACGAGCCUGUGAUACUGAGGCAAAUUGUAAAUGAUGCACGUAGCAAAGUCAUUGAGAAUUUUCACGUUUUAAAACACAACGAAGUGCCACCGAAGAUGACGUACACGUCGUCCUGGUUGAAUCUUAAUGAAAACGUUGAUGACAUCGACAAGGAAUGUGGUUAUUCUUGGUUCUAUAAGUCUUUUCAAAAUGUCCCCGAACACGAAGCACAAAACUCGGCAUGUGAAGCACCAAGCAAAUUGCAAGAAGCCACUGAAAAGCCAUCAUUGAUUGGGACUAAACAAUUACCAUCAGCGGUGGAGAACAAAGUACCAGCAGAUGAACCAGCAUCAAACAAGGAGAGUCUACAUGAAACCGUGCCCGUUUCAUUUAAUGGACAAUCAUCACCUGUGGCUAACAUCAACUGCUCACCGAAGCAUAAUUGUCAGGUUACAGAACUAACCAACAGUCAACCAAUUAUUGCAAAAUCUCUGGAGGCCAUGGUGGAUUUGGGUGAACAAGGUGUCCCUACUGGAAAGUCAAGUUUGGAUAACCAAUUUGGAACCAAGAGUGUUUUGUCGCCCAAAUCAAUUGGCCAAAAUGACUAUACAAACUCCCCAAAGCCCAUUCAUGUGGUUGCAAAACAACAGGAGAUUGCGUUAUCUUCUGAAAUGCAAGUUAGAUCCAGUCAAAAAAUGCUUAAUGAAUGUGCCGUUCUUGAUAAGAACGUGAGAUAUGAGACCACGCCAAAACCUAGUCAAGAAACUCCUGUGCAAGUGAAUGAAUUGGAGACUGACAAGAUGGAUUCUUCAGCCACUAAGAUGAACGUUCUCCCUCAUGAAAUGGCUAGGCAGUGCUUUGCUAAUGAGAUGAAAGGACAUCAAAUCAUUGCUGCAUUUCCAGACAAGCACAAGGCGCCUUUGUUGAACACAACCCAAGUACUUGACACAAAAUCAACAGAAGAACCAAUAAGCAGGCAGAAGCUAGAGGAGAAGGCCAAAUAUUCAGCAUCCAGAGUUCUAGCAUUGCUAUCAGAACAGUACAAGUCAUCUUUAGCUGAACAUAUUCCAUUUACAGACAAAGUACAACAAGAACAAAUCUCCUCCAAGAAAAAUAUGUACGAUGAGAUUCGUGAAGAAUCUCCUGUUCCCUCGAACGCUCAGUCUCCAUCAGUGAUUGAUAACGUCUCUCCGAAGAUUAAUGAACAACCAAAUACUGUUAAUCCACUGAACAGCAUGAGAAACCUGGUGAGGACACUGGAAAAACGAAAUGUUUCAUUAAUAAAGUAUAAAAAAUUAAUUGAAAAACAUGGUGGUUUGAAAAAGC
ensembl:lncRNA